CCCACGGCUCGCGCCGUGGGCUUUACUCUUUCGCCCCUCCGGGGCU
rnacentral:sRNA from 1 species